rnacentral:misc_RNA from 1 species
UCCAAAGACAAUUCUCAAGUAUGCCGUUUCUAUCACUCUUCAAUUUCCCGCAAAAAACUGAUCCAUUGACAUGAAGCUGAAGAUCUCAGACUAAGUUUACCCAACAACGACAAGGUUUCUGCUUUCAUCUUUGUCUGAGAUCUUCACAGUUUUUUGCUUUAAGUUCCACUACCAUUCAGAAUUAGGUGGACUGGUUGCGGUAUACUAAGUUGCAGCCACCAAUUUUGAGGGCAAAUGAUCAUGCUUAAUUGUUCUGAUGAAAGUCUUGGAUGCUGUUAGCUCUGAGAAAGAUAAAUAUAUUUGCCAUGGGCGUAACCUACUUGUCAGUUUCAGCAUUCUGCACUGUUCUGAGCUAUGUCGGACUCCAGUGUUGGAUGGGAAUUUCGGUUGAGAAACUAAAAUCAGAUGGGCUCAUCGGGGAGAGUAUUAUUAACUUCAGGAAUGGAAGCCGUGCAUUAGAGAACCUUUUAGGUUCACAUACAACAAUUGCUCUGGGAGCCAAUUUUGCAGUCAACGUAUUUAUACUGCUAGUUUUGUUUCUUAAGACUAUAUUCUUUGGAGAUUUGCACUCGUCAGAAAUCCGAAAGCUGGCUGAACGCCUUAUCAAUUAUAUUAUUUCCAAGGGAACUUUUCUUCCGUUGGUUGUUCCACCUACCCUGUAUCAAGCAGGCCUGUGGUCAACGUGGCUAGCUGUUCUUUGCUUUUUAAAGAUGUUUCAAGCUUUAGCUAGGGAUCGACUUGAACGAUUGAAUGCCUCUCCUUCAGCUACUUCCUGGUCAUAUUUCCGGGUGUAUUCUGCUUUAUUGCUGGUUCUCUCAGCCAACUUACUCUGGAUGAGGGCGUGCCUGAUUGUAUAUAAAACAAUAAGUUCAUCCCUUUUUUUGUUAUUGUUCUUUGAGCCUCUUAGCAUAGCAUUUGAGACGCUACAGGCUAUUCUUGUUCAUGGAUUCCAGCUGCUUGACAUAUAUAUCCAUGACUCAGCAAAUGAUAUUUCAAAUAGUAGAAUAUCCG